ACGUACGACGCGUGCACUUUGGUUCUUGCUUGCUGGCCAUAGCCGCCUGGCGACUGCGCACUCUGUUUUUCUAGCC
rnacentral:sRNA from 1 species